UACGAAGGGGGCUAGCGUUGCUCGGAAUCACUGGGCGUAAAGCGCACGUAGGCGGAUUGUUAAGUCAGGGGUGAAAUCCUGGAGCUCAACUCCAGAACUGCCUUUGAUACUGGCGAUCUCGAGUCCGGGAGAGGUGAGUGGAACUGCGAGUGUAGAGGUGAAAUUCGUAGAUAUUCGCAAGAACACCAGUGGCGAAGGCGGACUCACUGGCCCGGUACUGACGCUGAGGUGCGGAAAGCG
rnacentral:rRNA from 1 species